AGGGGGAAGGGGUCACCCACCGCUGCCGGAAGUCGGUGUAGAGCAACCUGUUGGGGAACCCUUGGCGGCAGAUCCGGAUCCCCUCCAGGACCCCAUUGCAGCGCAGCUGGUGUAGCACCAAGAAGGCAUCCAUGACCCCUGGACGUGAGAGGGGAAAAGGUCAGAGGUCAACAGGCACACCCGCAGGCCCCAGAGAAAAAGCAGCAGUGGAGACCCUGCGAGGAUGGACAGGAUGCCCAGUGGCUGGGAACAGAACGAGCUUGAAAAGCCACCAUCAAGCCAGUCCAUCCUGGAAGGACUGAACCCCUGGUUCCCCAGGCCACCUCCCUUCUGGGAGCCUUCCCAGAUCCCCAGCUUCAGCCAUCUCCCCGGAUGGUCAGACACCACACCCACUCCAAGAACCCAUCUCCUAACAGAGAAAAGUUUGUGGCUUGGCUCCAGUCCCCUCCUGCAAAAUCUGCAGCACUGAGGUGUCAUCUUCACUUCUAACAAUGGCAAACCCAAGCUGGCAUCUCUGUACCCACUCUCACCCCCGCCACAGCCAUGGCUGUCACACACAAACAUGGGGUAAGUCAAAAAAAGCCAUCAAGUUCACAUUUUGGCUUCCUCACUCACUAGCUGUGGGGCCCUCCGACAUCACUAAGCCUCAGUCUUCUAACCUGCAGAGUGGGAAGAUGAAUGUCUUCAGUGCUGACAUAAUAUUUAAAAAGCUGUCAAUCACCUAAACGCCCAGCUGUAGGGGACUGCAGAAAUGCAUCGUAUGAAACUCAUCCACUGCAUGAACUACUCUUGCCAUGAGCAGCAUUCAAAAUACAUUUUCAGAGAAAAAGUAGGAUAUGAAAUGAAAUCUGUGUCUAUAAAAGAAAAUGGAUAGGCCAGGCGCAGUGGCCCACGCCUGUAAUCCCAGCACUUUAGGAGGCCAAGGUGGGUAGAUCACUUGAGGUCAGGAGUUCGAGACCAGCCUGGCCAAAAUGGUGAAGCCAUGUCUCUAUUAAAAAUACAAAAAUUAGCUAGGUGUGGUGGCGCAUGCCUGUAAUCCCAGCUACUUGGGAGGUUGAGGCAUAAGAAU
rnacentral:lncRNA from 1 species